rnacentral:rRNA from 1 species
AUGUGUGUUCCAAAAAUUCAAGGAGGUAUGUGAUUUUGGGACAUUCAUUGUUUCAAUCUAGCAUUACUAGUUAAACAAGCAUGGCAUCUCCUUGAUAAUCCGGAUUCUCUAUGUGCCCGUCUACUGAAAGUAAAAAAUCCUGAUGGCGAUUUGAUGAGUGCAAGCUUAAAAAAGGGCUCUCCUUUUACGUGGCAAAGCAUUAUGGCGGGAGUUAAUUCACUGAAAAAUGGUUAUGGAGAGUUGGAAUGGAUAGAAUAUCGAUAUAUAAAAGAUGCUUGGAUCCCGAAUUAUGCAAAUAGGAAAACUAUUACUCCUAGAGGAGGGCACCUUCUGUCCAAGGUCUCUGAUCUUAUUGAUCCAAUCACGAACUUAUGA